rnacentral:piRNA from 1 species
UCCAUUGAUCUCACUAUUGCCUGUGUGCCA